CCUACGGGAGGCAGCAGUGGGGAAUAUUGGGCAAUGGGCGCAAGCCUGACCCAGCAACGCCGCGUGAAGGAAGAAGGCUUUCGGGGUGUAACCUUCUUUUCUCAGGGACGAAGCAAGUGACGGUACCUGAGGAAUAAGCCACCGCUAACUACGUGCCAGCAGCCGCGGUAAUGCGUAGGAGGUAAGCGUUAUCCGGAUUUACUGGGUGUAAAGGUCGUGUAGGCGGGAAAGAAAGUCAGAUGUGAAAACCAUGGGCUCAACCUGUGGCCUGCAUUUGAAACUGUUUUUCUUGAGUACUGGAGAGGCAUACGGAAUUCCUAGUGUAGCGGUGAAAUGCGUAGAUAUUAGGCGGAACACCAGUGGCGAAGGCGGUCUGCUGGACAGCAACUGACGCUGAGGCGCAAAAGCGUGGGGAGCAAACAGGAGUAGAUACCCCUGUAGUC
rnacentral:rRNA from 1 species